AUCUCCACCGUCCCAUCCGUCCGACUCCGUCAGCUUCUCCAUCUCGUUGGCCAGAGGUUCCCCGCCAGAGGUUCGCGCACCAGAGGUUCUGCGCGCCAGAGGUUCGCCGCCAAUGGUUCAGCGGCCCAGCUCGCCGAAUCGUAGCCACAGGUUCGCGCGCCGAAUCGCCGCCACCGUUCGCGAGUCCAGAACCUCCACCGCCGCGAGUCCAGAGGCUGCACCUCCGCGAGUCCAAAACCUCCACUUCCUGUUGCGAGUACAAAACCUACAUCGUCGGCCGC
rnacentral:lncRNA from 1 species